CGGAGGCAGCAGUGAGGAAUCUUGCACAAUGGGGGAAACCCUGAUGCAGCGACGCCGCGUGAGCGAUGAAGCCCUUCGGGGUGUAAAGCUCUUUCGGCAGGAACGAUAAUGACGGUACCUGCAGAAGAAGCUGCGGCUAACUACGUGCCAGCAGCCGCGGUAAUACGUAGGCAGCAAGCGUUGUUCGGAAUUACUGGGCGUAAAGAGUGUGUAGGUGGUGUCGUAAGUUUGGUGUGAAAUCUCCCGGCUUAACUGGGAGGGUGCGCCGAAGACUGCGAUGCUUGAGUAUGGGAGAGGAAAGCGGAAUUCCUGGUGUAGCGGUGAAAUGCGUAGAUAUCAGGAGGAACACCUGCGGUGUAGACGGCUUUCUGGACCAUUACUGACACUGAGACACGAAAGCGUGGGUAGCAAACAGGAUUAGAUACCCCGGUAGC
rnacentral:rRNA from 1 species